GUGUCAGCCGCCGCGGUAAUACGUAGGAGGCAAGCGUUAUCCGGAUUUACUGGGCGUAAAGAGAGCGUAGGCGGUUUGGUAAGUCGGAUGUGAAAUCUCCCGGCUCAACCGGGAGGAGUCAUUCGAUACUGUUGAACUAGAGUGCAGCAGGGGGAAGUGGAAUUCCCGGUGUAGUGGUGAUAUGCGUAGAUAUCGGGAGGAACACCAGUGGCGAAGGCGGCUUCCUGGGCUGUUUCUGACGCUGAGGCUCGAAAGUGUGGGGAGCGAACAGGAUUAGAUACCCUGGUAGUCCACACUGUAAACGAUGGACACUAGGUAUGGGGAGUAUCGACCCUCUCUGUGCCGAAGUUAACGCUUUAAGUGUCCCGCCUGGGGACUACGGCCGCAAGGCUAAAACUUAAAUGAAUUGACGGGG
rnacentral:rRNA from 1 species